GUGGCAAACGGGUGAGUAUAAUGUGGGAAUCUGCCUUUUGGUUCGGAAUAACACGAGGAAACUUGUGCUAAUACCGGAUAAGUCCUUACGGAGAAAGUUUUAUGCACCAUUGGAUGAGCCCGCACUUGAUUAGUUAGUUGGUAGGGUAAUGGCCUACCAAGGCAACGAUCAAUAGUUGUUCUUAGAGGAAGACCAGCCACAUUGGGACUGAGACACGGCCCAAACUCC
rnacentral:rRNA from 1 species